rnacentral:rRNA from 1 species
UACGGGGGGGGCAAGCGUUGUUCGGAAUUACUGGGCGUAAAGGGCUCGUAGGCGGCCAACUAAGUCAAACGUGAAAUCCCUCGGCUUAACCGGGGAACUGCGUCUGAUACUGGAUGGCUUGAGUUUGGGAGAGGGAUGCGGAAUUCCAGGUGUAGCGGUGAAAUGCGUAGAUAUCUGGAGGAACACCGGUGGCGAAGGCGGCAUCCUGGACCAACACUGACGCUGAGAAGCGAAAGCCAGGGGAGCAAACGGG